GGUAGAGGGCCAUUAUGCCAACGCCCUAAGCGUAAAGGUGCCAAAAGGCCCGCUCUUACGAGUACGCUGCGUUCCUCGGUCUCGGUCGCUGUAUCCAGUAGGAGGCUAUAACACACCCCGAGAGGUGCCACGUUCCUCCUACCCUUCUCCAGUGCCCAAAACCGACGUUGGCCUGCAACGCAGGAAAAACACCAAGCAAAAGCAAGGCUGAAUCCUGCGACGCAUCUCUGACCUCCUACCCUUCCCUUUUGGCAAUUUCACGUACUGUUUAACUCUCUUUUCAAAGUUCUUUUCAUCUUUCCAUCACUGUACUUGUUCGCUAUCGGUCUCUCCCCAAUAUUUAGCCUUAGAUGGCAUUUACCACCCAUUUUGAGCUGCAUUCCCAAACAACUCGACUCUUAGAAAGCGUAUCACAAAGCUUCGGGCGCUCCAUGCCAUGUACGGGAUUAUCACCCUCUAUGAUGCCCUUUUCCAAGGGACUUAGGCAUGGUCCGAAGCGGAAAACACUUCUUGAGAUUACAAUGCGGACGCCGAAGGCGCCAGCUUUCAAUCUUGGGCUCUUCCCUCUUCACUCGCCGUUACUAGGGGAAUCCUUGUUAGUUUCUUUUCC
rnacentral:rRNA from 1 species